rnacentral:tRNA from 1 species
GCCUGGCUCACUCAGUCAGUUAAGUGUCUGACUUUGGCUCAGGUCAUGAUCAGGUUUGUGGGUUCAAGUCCUAUGUUGGGCU